rnacentral:misc_RNA from 1 species
AACGCACGAGACCUGCGGACCUGCGGAAGGAUCAUUAUUGGUAUUUAAUUAUAUAUUAUUACUUGCCGGUUAAUUUUGACCUAUAAAAAGGUUGGGGUUAAUCAGCAUCAAAUUAUACAUCUACACACCUAUAUAACAUAAAUUGUCUGAUAUUUUUAUAUAUAAAAUACAACUUUCAACAAUGGAUCUCU